GGGAAUGAACAAACCGGCCGAUAUACUGGUUUGGGACCAGAGGGUCGGGAGUUCGAAUCUCUCCACUCCGACCA
rnacentral:tRNA from 2 species